rnacentral:rRNA from 1 species
AACGAACGCUGGCGGCAUGCCUAACACAUGCAAGUCGAACGAGACCUUCGGGUCUAGUGGCGCACGGGUGCGUAACGCGUGGGAACCUGCCCUUAGGUUCGGAAUAACUCCCCGAAAGGGGUGCUAAUACCGGAUAAUGUCUUCGGACCAAAGAUUUAUCGCCUUUGGAUGGGCCCGCGUUGGAUUAGCUAGUUGGUAGGGUAAAAGCCUACCAAGGCGACGAUCCAUGGCUGGUCUGAGAGGAUGAUCAGCCACACUGGGACUGAGACACGGCCCAGACUCCUACGGGAGGCAGCAGUGGGGAAUAUUGGACAAUGGGCGAAAGCCUGAUCCAGCAAUGCCGCGUGAGUGAUGAAGGCCUUAGGGUUGUAAAGCUCUUUUACCCGGGAUGAUAAUGACAGUACCGGGAGAAUAAGCACCGGCUAACUCCGUG